AGUGAACGCUGGCGGUAGGCCUAACACAUGCAAGUCGAACGGCAGCACAGGAGAGCUUGCUCUCUGGGUGGCGAGUGGCGGACGGGUGAGGAAUACAUCGGAAUCUACUCUUUCGUGGGGGAUAACGUAGGGAAACUCACGCUAAUACCGCAUACGACCUACGGGUGAAAGCAGGGGAUCUUCGGACCUUGCGCGAUUGAAUGAGCCGAUGUCGGAUUAGCUAGUUGGCGGGGUAAAGGCCCACCAAGGCGACGAUCCGUAGCUGGUCUGAGAGGAUGAUCAGCCACACUGGAACUGAGACACGGUCCAGACUCCUACGGGAGGCAGCAGUGGGGAAUAUUGGACAAUGGGCGCAAGCCUGAUCCAGCCAUACCGCGUGGGUGAAGAAGGCCCUCGGGUUGUAAAGCCCUUUUGUUGGGAAAGAAAUCCAGCUGGUUAAUACCCGGUUGGAAUGACGGUACCCAAAGAAUAAGCACCGGCUAACUUCGUGCCAGCCGCCGCCGUAA
rnacentral:rRNA from 1 species